AAAAGUAAGUAAGGGCACAUGGCGGAUGCCUUGGCUCUCGGAGGCGAUGAAGGACGUGAUAAGCUGCGAUAAGCCGCGGGUAGGUGCAAAUGACCUUUGAUCCGCGGAUUUCCGAAUGGGACAACCCGAUAUCCUGAAGGGAUAUCAUCCCGCAAUGCGGGAGGCUAACGCAGGGAACUGAAACAUCUUAGUACCUGCAGGAAAAGAAAAUAAAUAAUGAUUCCCCCAGUAGUGGCGAGCGAACGGGGAACAGCCCAAACCAUCCAUGUUACGGCAUGUGUGGGGUUGUAGGACCACGUUGUGGCAAGAAAGUUGGUGAGCAGAAUGUUCUGGAAAGUACAGCCAUAGAGCAUGAUAGCUGCGUAUGCGAAGCCAACCGAAGCCUAGUGGUAUCCUGAGUAGCGCGGAGCACGAGGAAUUCUGCGUGAAUCUGCCGGGACCAUCCGGUAAGGCUAAAUACUCCCGAGAGACCGAUAGUGAACCAGUACUGUGAAGGAAAGGUGAAAAGCACUUCGAACAGAAGAGUGAAAUAGUUCCUGAAACCAUGUGCCUACAAGCGGUCGGAGCACUUUUAGUGUGACGGCGUGCCUUUUGCAUAAUGAACCUACGAGUUACUUUUUCCGGCGAGGUUAAGGAUCUCAGAUCCGCAGCCGAAGCGAAAGCGAGUCUGAACAGGGCGUAUAGUCGGAAGGAGUAGACGCGAAACCAAGUGAUCUACCCUUGGGCAGGUUGAAGGAUGGGUAACACCAUCUGGAGGACCGAACCAAUAAGCGUUGAAAAGCUUCUGGAUGACCUGAGGGUGGGGGUGAAAGGCUAAUCAAACUUGGAGAUAGCUCGUACUCCCCGAAAUGCAUUUAGGUGCAGCCUUGACUUAUACUGACAUGAGGUAGAGCGACUGAUAAGAUGCGAGGGCUUCACCGCCUAUCAAGUCUUGACAAACUCCGAAUGCGUGUCAGUUCUAUGUCAGGAGUGAGGGCAUGGGUGCUAAGGUCCAUGUCCUAAAGGAGAACAAUCCGGACCAACAGCUAAGGUCCCGAAAUGAAUACUAAGUUGAACUAACGAAGUCAGAUUGCUAAGACAGCUAGGAUGUUGGCUUGGAAGCAGCCAUUCAUUUAAAGAGUGCGUAACAGCUCACUAGUCGAGGAGUUUGGCGUGGAUAAUAAUCGGGCAUAAGUAUUCUACCGAAGCUUUGGGAUGAGAAAUCAUCGGUAGGGGAGCAUUCCACUCAGCGUCGAAGGUAAGGCGUGAGCCUUGCUGGAGCGUGUGGAAAAGCAAAUGUAGGUAUAAGUAACGAUAAAGGGGGUGAGAAACCCCCUCGCCGAAAGACUAAGGUUUCCUGAUCAACGCUAAUCGGAUCAGGGUAAGUCGGGUCCUAAGGCUCAGCCGAACGGCGAGGCCGAUGGCAGAACCGGUUAAUAUUCCGGUACUACCUUAAGGAGUGACGUGGAGACGGAGUCGUGACAGCGCCGCGGACUGACGGAAUAGUCCGUUGAAGGGUGUAGAUGUUGAUUGUUCCAGGCAAAUCCGGAAUGAGAGUCGAACCUGACAGUAUGGAGCGUCCUUCUGGACAAUCCAAUAGUGCGUGUAAUCAUACUUCCAAGAAAAUCCGCUAAACUUAAUCCUUACGGUACCCGUACCGCAAACGGACACACGUAGUCGGGUUGAAUAUACUAAGGCGCUUGAGUGAUUCACGGUUAAGGAACUAGGCAAACUGACCCUGUAACUUCGGGAUAAAGGGUCCUCAAGCAAUUGAGGCGCAGAGAAUAGGUCCAGGCAACUGUUUAACAAAAACACAGGGCUGUGCAAAAUUGAAAGAUGAAGUAUACAGCCUGACACCUGCCCGGUGCUGGAAGGUUAAGAGGAGACGUCAUCGCAAGAGAAGCGUUGAAUUGAAGCCCCAGUAAACGGCGGCCGUAACUAUAACGGUCCUAAGGUAGCGAAAUUCCUUGUCGGGUAAGUUCCGACCUGCACGAAUGGUGUAAUGAUCUGGACGCUGUCUCAACCGUGAGCUCAGUGAAAUUGUAGUAUCGGUGAAGAUGCCGAUUACCCGCGAUGGGACGAAAAGACCCCGUGAACCUUUACUAUAGCUUAACAUUGAAUUUGGGUAAUUGAUGUGUAGGAU
rnacentral:rRNA from 1 species